rnacentral:rRNA from 1 species
UACCAGCACCCCGAGUGGUCGGGACGAUUAUUGGGCCUAAAGCAUCCGUAGCCGGUUCUACAAGUCUUCCGUUAAAUCCACCUGCUUAACAGAUGGGCUGCGGAGGAUACUAUAGAGCUAGGAGGCGGGAGAGGCAAGCGGUACUCGAUGGGUAGGGGUAAAAUCCGUUGAUCCAUUGAAGACCACCAGUGGCGAAGGCGACUAACUGGACACGUAUUGACGCUGAGGUACGAAAGCGUGGGGAGCAAACAGG